CGAGAGGGCCAGCGUCCGGACGUCUGUAGGUGUAGGCGGGAGCGGAGGCUGCCGCUCGGGUCAGAAGAGGAUAGACGUUAACUCAUCAAGAAAAAGCAGUGUACCUUACUCAGUGAAAAUGCAAGGUUAAGCCCAGAGAGUCAUAUCCGAGGUGCGCACGUUCAGGUGGUGCUCCCUCUGUGUCCCUUCCUCUCCCUUCUCCAGCGUGUGCAAGGGCUGUUUUCCCAUAGGGAAGGCUUGUCUCCAGCUGGUAUAAGGGGAGUUUUAGGCAGGUGAGUGUAGGAGUUGUAGGGCUGACCAGGUUUCUCAUGACCCCAUUUCUCUUUCCUCCUCCCCAGCUGAACCUUCACAGUUCUUUACCUUCUUCCAGGAGUAGCAGAAAAUGAACAUAGCUCAGGUGAGUUCAGUUUUUAAUAGCUUGCUUGUGUUACAAGGGAUUUUAUAAGGGCUUACGUGUCUCUCCGUCAACAUGGAAGAGUAGAAAUAGAAAUGGAUCAGAUGCAUUCAGAGAAGACACAGAAAUACAGUUGAAGAGCAGAGCAAAGGUGGCAGGUGGGUACAUGCAGGUCCUCUGACAUUGCAGAUGUACUACGUUGGAGUUCCAGGUUUAUUUCUGAGGUUUGUGAUAGCCGUGGCAGGGUAUCAGGCGUGAUAUUUCUUUCAAGGUUAACGUUGGUGAGAAGGUAAAGCAAACUGAUUCCUCAUAGACUAUAAAGACAAUUGAAGGUGAAGAAUAUCUUUGUUGUUUUCAACUACGUGAUUUAGUUAACAGCUUCCAGUAGUAACCCUAAGAUAACAUAGGACGUUGCCUCCACUUGUGCUUCAGUAAAGGUAGAAGAGGUAACGCUGAAGUGAGCUCAGUCAGUACUGUUUUUCACAAACUCCAACACAGGGAUUGCAGGAGACAUUUUUCUGAUGGACCAACUGACUAUCCUUAAGAUUACUCUCCAUAAAUAUUUCGAGUACCCGUGAUUUUCAGGACAGUUUAAAACGGUCAGCCCAGCAGACAGUUUAAAAUUCUGUUCUCCUUCAAGUGUUUCAACACUUUCAGUCACGCUCUAAACCUUUUCAUGAGGCCUUGGUCUCUCUCCCCACUUACCUGUGAUCUCCAGUGACCAGAGACUCGAUUAUGAUCAAAUCCAUUGGGUCUUGCCUGAUCCUUUGCUUACUUGACUUUUCUGUAGCACUUGCCUCUACUUCUCACUCUGUCCUUCUGGAAAGUGUCUCUGUGAGUGUCUGUGACACCUUCCACUGGCUCUGUCCUUCUCCUGCUGAUAUCUUCAUGGAGUCGUCGUCUUUCCCUUGUCCUUGCACAUGGCUCAUCCCCAGUUUCCCUCUUUGGCCCUUUAAUCUCGUCUGUUGUCUUGGAAUGAUUUCAUUUUCUCUCAUUUUUUUCUUUAAACAGCUUUAUUGAGAUUCCGCUCACAUACCAUGCCAUUCACCCAUUUAAAAUGUAGAAUUCAAUGAUUUUUUUAGUGUACCCG
ensembl:lncRNA